rnacentral:sRNA from 1 species
UGAAAUGAUACCAACAUAUGGGGUGCU